GGGGGUAUAGCUCAGCUGGGAGAGCAGCAGACUGAAGUAAUCAAUGAACUAGUGACCAUAGUUAUUCUUCUGAAGGUCCCGCGUUCGAUCCGCGGUACCCCCA